UACGGAGGGUGCAAGCGUUGUUCGGAAUUAUUGGGCGUAAAGCGCGUGUAGGCGGUUGGUUAAGUCUGAUGUGAAAGCCCUGGGCUCAACCCGGGAAGUGCAUUGGAAACUGGCUAACUUGAGUACGGGAGAGGGUAGUGGAAUUUCGAGUGUAGGGGUGAAAUCCGUAGAUAUUCGAAGGAACACCGGUGGCGAAGGCGGCUACCUGGACCGAUACUGACGCUGAGACGCGAAAGCGUGGGGAG
rnacentral:rRNA from 1 species